AUUGAACGCUGGCGGCAGGCCUAACACAUGCAAGUCGAGCGAGCGGCGGACGGGUGAUUAAUGUAUGGGGAUCUGCCCGAUAGAGGGGGAUAACUACUGGAAACGGUGUCUAAUACCGCAUACUAUCGGAUGAACCCAUAUGGGAUUAGCUAGUCGGUGGGGUAAAGGCGCACCUAGGCGACGAUCCCUAGCUGGUCUGAGAGGAUGACCAGCACCACUGGGACUGGGACACGGUCCAGACUCCUACGUGAGGCAGCAGUGGGGAAUAUGGCACAAUGGGCGCAAGCCUGAUGCAGCCAUGCCGCGUGUAUGAAGAAGGCCUUCGGGUUGUAAAGUACUUUCAGCGAGGAGGCGUUACCCGCAGAAGAAGCACCGGCUAACUCCGUGCCAGCAGCCGCGGUAAUAC
rnacentral:rRNA from 1 species